rnacentral:tRNA from 1 species
GGAGCUAUACAGGUGGUCCUGUAUAUGGAUUGCAAAUCUAAUAUUUGGGGUUCGAUUUCCCAUAGCUCCU